rnacentral:lncRNA from 1 species
CCUCCCCCUUGAACUACUCUGUGUGCAUUUUCCAGAGAGCGUGUGUUUCAAAUGAAAGGUCAAACAGGAGAUCGGUUUCAGUUUGGAGCUACAGGAGGGUGAUUAUUUCUCUAAUGUGAUUUGCUUCCUGUUGCUAAAACAGUCCUUUGAAAUGAGGUUGUUUGCUAAGUGAGGCAUCUCCUUCCUCUUUCUCCUGUGGAUGAAUUACAGAGUAAGAAGAAUCAUUCUGAGGCUCCUCACUGUGAUGGACUGAGGAGCCUUAUUUAUUCCCUGUGGAUAGUGGCCUGCCACUGGAGAGCCACAGGCUGGAGUGACAGAGCUGACUCAUGGGGUAGGGAGAAAAUGGCCUGGAUCACUGACAGAGGAAUCAAACUCAGGACCUUGUGCUUGCAAGGCAGGCGGCAGAACUACUGAGCUAAAUUCCCGGCCCACAAUGUUCAUUUUCAUUGCUGUGAUUACAUUACACUGGUUGCAGAUGGGUGACUGCUGCCUGAUCCUGGGUGAGAGGCAUUUUCUUUGCCAGUUGUCCAAAGAAUGGAAAUUUCCUGCAGUUUCACAGACAUAAUGGAUAUAUGCUGACUUUUUAAAAGCCAUCUGUUACUAGGGGCAAAAAGAAAUAAAAGAGGAAAAUACUUACUUUUAGACUCUCUAAUAUACGUGAAAAAAAAUCUUCCUAAAGAAAUGAGCAAAAAAAAAAAAGAAAGAAAGAAAAGAAAAGAACAACAGUCUUCAUAAAUCUGGAUCCUAGUACUCAUAUUGCAGGUUACCAGGUUCCAAGUGGCAUCUUAAGACCGGGAGGACACAAGGAACAAGGUGCAGCCUAAUCUGAAGAACAAGGGCAGUUCCUACGGAUGUGGACCUUGAGCAUCAGCUGGGCAGAAUGAAGUGAGACAGAAGCUGUCUCCUCGCUGAGUCUGGCAGCCAAAGAGGCUCAGGGGCCCGGACCCAGGAUGAACCUCAUGGGAAACCUCUUGGACCUCACCUUGCAGAUUCUACCAACUUUGCUACUAGGCUGUAACCUUGAUGAAUGGAAAAGGAAACUGAUGAAUCUGCCAAGUUGUAAAGCAAGCAGCAGUCCAUUGUAAGAUGAAAGUGAGGCACCGGGGACUCAACCAACACUCAAAGACUAGUGGGCAUGUUUAGGUUGAGCAAGCAGGGAGCUCAGAUCCCUCAUGGCAUCCACCACAGUUACCAGCACAUCUCCCUCAGCAGACAUAAGGCCAUUGGAAGGAGAAGAAAAAAAAAUGGUUUAGGUAAGUUUACAUUUGGCUUGGAUCAGUGUGAGAAUACAGCCUGAAAAUGAAAAACCACCAUAUAACAACCACACUCAAGAGUGACUUUGAAAGAAAAUGGGGAAAAAAAGAGAAUGAAAAUCUUAUCACUGAGUGGAGCUAUAAUUAGAGCAUCUGGCCACUAAUGUUAUGGAAAGACAAGUGGUCCAAGCUGAGUAUGACUUAAUGGAUUGGUUCGAGGUCUAGAAGGAAAAUGACUGGAAAAUUGGAGACAAAGAGGUCUGGGGUGGAGCCACGUGGCCAGACCUACAGGAGUGGGCAUGAAGUAUGCGCAUGUUAAUGUGACAUGUUAAUGUCCACUGGAAAGCAUCCACUACAGAAGUGACAUUGGACAAUUUACAUUAGCUAGCCUUCAUCAUUAGUUCCCUCAGAACAGGCUUGAUGGACUGUCAAAAGAAAUGGCCAUACUGGUGAAAAAGAGCUUCCAUAUGGACCCAAAUGCAAAGACUUCCACUGAAGAAGACUGAUGCAGAUAUCGCCUUCUCUGAAUGUCCAAACUGCUGACAACAAGGACCAAUCCUGAGCCCCAGUAUGCUUCCUUGACAAUUUGUCCUCAUAUCAAUAGACACCUAUUCUGAGUGUGAGUCUGCCUUUCAUGUCUGCAGAGCUUUAUGUAGCAACAUUAUCCAGUGGUUUAUGUGGAAACUGACUCACAGCGCAGGCAUCAGGAAUUUAGGGUUCAGAGCCACUCUGGCCCACACCUGGAGAGUUUCCUUCCUCCUGGGAUUCCCAGGGAAAAGCAUGGCUUUCUCUAGACUCUCAGGUGUAAGUCCUUCCUUUCUGCUUUAGAGGCUCCACAUUAGGAAGAUCAGGAUCAGAGCCUCACUCAAACACUCACCCACGCCUAACAUUCUUACUCUCUCCAGUCUUUCUCCUUCCUGCCUUAUCCACUUAUCUCUUCAAGUCUGAAAAUUACUUUAACAUUGUAUCUGUGUCUUCUCAAGUCUAUGGUUCAAAGUAUAAAUCCUGUGGUUUGCUAGUCCUCUAAUAUUGGCUUUAGAUAUUUAAACCCUAGUUUCUGGAACUCUCAUCAAACUAACUUCCUUCCUUUCACUUCUCCUCAUUGUCUUCCUCCCUCUUGUCUUCUACCUUUGAGUUCUAAAAUCUCAAAAAAGCCUGGUCCUUGCAAUAAGAAAACACUGUCUAUUGUGUGUUAAAAAUUCCAUUCAGCAAACCAGUUGACUUAUUUGAACCAGGAUAUAUAAAAAUUUUUUUGAACUUCAGACAUAUAUCACAGUCUCUUCCCAGCUGAGAAUUUAUCCUGUUCUAGGCCCAUGAAACAUUUCCUAAGGGUGAUCAGUUAUUAAGCCAUAAUAAAAAGUUUAAUACAUUCCAUCAUUCAGGCCACAAUCUUCGAUCACUAUGCAGAGAGAUUUAACAUUAAUGCCAAAACUUAAAAGAAUAAAAUCCCACCACACUCUUACAUAGCUUUUGGAUCAAAGAGAAAUCAAAAGAGUGAUUGCAGGUUAUUUAUAAAACAAUGAUAAGAAUACUACAUAAGUGAGGUGGCCAAGAUUGUGCAUAGGAACAAUUAGUUUUAGAGGCUUUUGUAAUUAAACAAAGAAAAGAAUACAAAUAAACUGUUCAAGUAGAAGUUAAAAACAGAGCCAACAAAUACGACUAUGGCAAAUAAAAGAGGAAAUUGAUAAAGACUAAAGUAGAAAUUAGCAGUUAGAAGAAAGCCAGUAAAUUUGAUAGAUAAAUAAAUAAAAUGGUUCUUUAAAGUAUUAGAUAAAAAAGAAAAACUUUUUCCAAAGCCAAUCAAGAAAAACAAGGGGAAAAACCAAGCAAUUGGAGUGAGGACAGAUAUAUAACCACAGCUAGCAGAGAGAUUUAUGUUUUAUUAUGUAGAUUAUUAUGCUGAACUCUACUAAAACUUAUGAAGUCUGGGAAAAUGAAUGAUUUUCCAAUAAAAUAAAUUAUCAAAAUUUGUUAAGGAAUAAAAUGUAAAUAUACUCAUGAUCAUAAAAGAAAUUUUAAGAGUUUUCGGAGCUCUCCAAAAAUAUGCAUAGCUUUUACAAGCCAGAUCCAAUAGAACUUCACUGAGCAUAUAAUUGUCAUAGAAUUUAAACUGUUGCAGAAUUUCACUUCAUUUUACUAAAUUAGCAUAGUCUUGAUCUCUAAAUGUGUAGCAAGAAUCUACUAUAAUCUCAGAUGUGAAUAUAUUUCACGAAUUUUAAGUAAAGUAUUAGCAAAACAAAUCAAUAGUAUAACAAAAGAAUAAUGUGGCCUGGGAUUUAGCUCAGUGGUUUCGGUGCCUGCCUCGCAAGCGCAGGGUCCCGAGUUCAAUCCCUGGUACCCCCCCCCCCCCAAGGAAAGAAAACAAAAGAAUAAUGUAAUAUGAGUAAAGUUUUUCUGAGAAUGGAGGCAUAGUUCAAUAAUGGAAAAUCUCAGACAUUAGUGGAAAAUAAAUUGAUGCAGCCUUUUAGGGAGGGCAGUUUGAUUAAAUUCUAUCAAAUUUAGGAAUGCAUUGAAUCUGUGCCUUAGUCCCCUUAUAGUUACCUGUACUUAAAGAAAUAUGGGUACAAGAUGUUUGCACAAGAACCCUCUUUUUUUCUUGAUAGUGAGACAGAGAGAGAGACAGACAGACAGAGAGACAGAGACAGAGAGAGGAAACAACUUAAAUAUCCAUUAAUAAGAGAAUGACUAAGUCACAGUGUUACACUAAAAAGUACAAGGUAGUAUUUUAAAAGAAUGGGUUACUCUGUACCAAAACAGAAAAAUCUCUGCUACAUUAAGUAAACAAGACAACAAAACCAAACCAUUACUGGAGACCUCUCAGUAGGUUCCAGUCUCCUGCCCAGUAUACGAUGCAGAGCUGAAGAAAGACUCAAAAACAGAAUUAAAGAAAAAAGUGGGGAGCCAGGAUGGCCAGUGCUGAGCAACCAGGAAGGCCAUGGUCACUGAUUUUUAUUGGUAAUCAAAUUGGGAUAAAGGGUAACUAUGUGCUAAGAUGUGCAGUUGUGCAGUUGCUAUGAAUACUAAUGCAGGUAAGGCUUGUAAAGGAAAAGAUAAAGCAUUCUUGAAGUAAGAUCAGAACAGAGAAAAUAUAGGGUUGUAAUUAGUACCUUGUCCUUCUAGUUAAGAAGGUUUUAGUUGUGAGAAUGGAAUUUGGGUGCGAGUUACUUUGACCUCAGCUACUAUAUUAUCUCAUAUUGAGCCCCAUAGCUUCACAGAACAUUUCUCUGGUCUCUGCUGGGGCCGUUAGUGGGAAGGUCAUGCUAACCUGUGCGCUACUGCAGUGCUUAGGAGGUGCUUCUAUGAGUCACAUAAGCUUCAGACUCUCUUCUUAAAAUGGGCCAAUUGAGGGGUUAACUCUUUAUAGCCUGCACUGCUUACAGCCCACUUUGGGCAUAAUCAGUAGGGUGGCUCCCUACAAACCCCAAAUAUAUGAACUAAAUAAUAUUAUAUAAUGAUCCUAUUAAUGUAAAAAAAACUGUAGAGCCACAAAUGUGUGCACUUACCUGAGUAUGUAUAAAUGAAGAUAGCUCUAUCUAUAGAAGAUAACUCAAGAGGUGAGGAUGGGGUUGAUGACAUGGUACUGGGUGGCAAAGAGAUGUCAUUUUUUUUCCAUAUAGGUCCUGCAUUGUUUCACAUUUUCACAAUGAAGCUAUGCUCAGGGGUCACUUGUGUAACUAAAAUAGUAAAGAGUCAAAUAACACAUUUUGUAAUAAUUCAUUCCAUCAAUAAUCAAAAGAGGAAAAAAUCCUUAUACUUGAUGGUUUCCAGAAAAGCUUCUACCUCCUGCUAAUUCUUUUUAAAACUAAUUUUUUUUGGGGGUACCAGGGUUCGAACUCAGAACCUUGUGCUUGCGAGGCAGGCAGUGGAACCACUGAGCUAAAUCCCCAGCCCCUUAAAACUAAUCUUAAGAAAGAAAAAAGAAACUUUUAAAGUAAGAUCAAGAAUAUCAAGACAAUGAUUAUCAUCAUACUUAACAGUGGAGGGUUAAAGUAGUACCUAAUAAAGUUGGGCAGAUGGACUGGGAGGUCAGUAAUAUAAUUAUUGAACACUUAACAAUUUUGGUCAAUUCAAUUCCAUAGGAAAAGAAGAAACAGUAACCUUGAGAGAGGAAAGGAGUGUGGUGGGGGGAGAGAGAGAGUAUUAAUGUGUUAAGAAGGAAUAUAAAAUUGUUACUGUUUACAGGUAUGAUAAUCUCCAGGGAAAACCCAAGAGGUUCAACAAUAAAAGAGCACUUGCAUACGCCAAGGGCUUCCUGGCUGCCAGCCCUCUGCUCAGUCUUCAUAGACACAGUCUCAUUUAAUUCCCAAGAACCCUACGAUGCACAUUUAUCGUUUCUGUUCAACAGACAAGGAAAACUAUGUGCCUCAAAGGUUUAGGAGGCAGUGAGUGGUGAAGCAGCUGAGCCCAGAUUUAACCUGAGCUCUGAAUCUGGAGCUGGUUGAGAUCCUGCAGCCUGAAUGCACACUGUUUAAAAGCCACAGGGUAUCUUUUAAUAAGAAGACAACUAUAAUAGAGAAAAAGAUAUAAUAAUAAACACUUUAAAGUGGUGGUGUUUAUAUAGAAUAUCAAAAGCUAAUUUGGAAAUAUCAGGAAAAAUUACGUUCUAUGUGCCAUGGCGACCAGAAUUAUGUUAACAGCACACUUAAAAAUACCAGUAAAAGAAAACUUCAAAACUUUACCGAGAGACAAAGAAAAAACUUGAAUACACAGAGACAUGCUCAUCUGUAACUUGCAAGUCAAUAUUGAAUAUAUUUCAGUUGUACUCAAACCAACCCACAAAUAUAAAUUCUUAACAAAUUAGCAGUUUUGUCAGAACCUGACCAAACUACUCUUUUAAGAAAAAUGUUUAAUUUCAAGAGCUCAUUGUAUUAAACAAAUCAGAAAUACGUCACAUAAAACAUUUCCUCCAGAAGUAAACACUGUAAACAUUGUUAUUUGAAGCCCCCCUCAGAAUCCUGCUCUUUUAGCAUAAUAAAGACAAAUGACAUGCAGAGAAUGGCUUAGAGUAGGUCAUGAGGGCAUAUUACUAAGUUUUUAGGAAUUUUGUGAACUGGUUGAUAAACAUAGGCAAUAUGAAGAUCAUAUUAUAUAAACUAACAAUAAGUUAUUUAAAAAGCGUAAGUAAAACAUUUUUAAAGUUCAUUUCUUUCGAAUUAUUUUAUUAAAUGAUGUUAGCUAUGUGUGCUUCUAAGGUACUUUACAUGUAUUUUGUCUGAAUGAUGGACAUGCUAAACAGUGGUCUGCUGUUGUUCUCCUCCCAAUUCUGUGAGCAGUGACAUCAUGUUAGCAGGUUGCAACUGACUAUGGUGGGGAUACUUUGACCAUGGAGGGUGGCUGUGUUUGUCAGCUUUCUGUUACUAUAACAAAUGGCUAGAAUAAUCAAUUUCAAAAGAGAAAGGUUUAUUCGGCUUAUAGCUUUGGAAGUUUCACCCCAGGAUCAGAUGGCCCUGUUGCUUUUAGGCCUGUGAUGGCACAUCGUGGGGGGAUCCUGAGGUGGAGAAAAAACACCCAUGCAUGCCUGGAAGGCAGGAAAGAUCAGGAUCCCACCAUCCCCUUCAAGGGCACACCCCCACUGACCUGAAGACCUUCUCUCAGAACCCACUCCUUGGAGUUUCCACCGCCUCCCAGCAGCACCAAGCAGAGGCCCAAGCCUUUAACGCAUGGGCCUGUGGGGGCCACUCCAGAUCCAAACUGUAGCACUGACAAAUGCUACUGACCACAGUCUUUUCAGAGCUGGUUAUUAAACAUUGAACUCAGUAGCAGGAGUCAUAUGUAUUUUAUCUGUGUGUGUAUGCACGUGGUUCAAUAAAAGAGGGGAAAAAAUCAUAUCUCACCUCCCUACUUAAAAGUAGAAUAAAUGAGGAUGACAAAUACAACUUGUUUCAUAAUCAGUACUAAUGAGGUAGAAAAGGAUUCCUUGCGGCAAAGAACUUAAAAGAGUUAUCACACUUAAACAUGUCAUGAAUUUUUCUUUUAUAAAAGACAGUGUUUUCAAUCUACUAAUCUUUUCCAGGAUGAAAGUAGGGUCAGUAAAAUGCACUUCAAAUUAUUUGGAAAAAACAGAUAUGCUUGUCUUUUCAAGGCACAAAUUACAUUGUAACAAAGAGUGGGGGAAUAACAGCCUUUUGGGAAUAACAGCCUUUCGAGAUAAACUCAUGCUUUGGAGAGAGUAUGCUGGAAAUGGGCAGAAGAUAUACCUCUAGAGUUGUGUGAUUUUGGGGGCUGAAAAUGAUGUAAGUGAACAGUCUAUAAAAAGACUAUAUCUGCUUACUUUAAAAACUUGGAAAUAGGAUAUUCUACUGUGCUUCAGUCUUCUGAAAUAAACUAACUUGCUAACAAUGUGGAAAGAUAAAAGCUUCCAAUUAUUUGGCAGAAACAACCAGCAGCCAUCAGGAAUAAUGGAAAUUGUUAGCUGAAUCUCAACAAAGACAUUUGCAUAUUGGUGAACAAAACUGCAAAUGAGUAUCACUAUUACUGGAGCAUAGUCUAUAAAAAUACUGCUUUCAUUUGGUGUCUUGCGUGAUGGUGAAGCUGCUUUUCACUUAUUUCAAAACCAAUUACUGGAAUAAUCUGAGUUUAGAAGGAGAAUUGGGAGGGGCUGAGUAUCACAGAGCAUUGAGUCAAGAUUGUAAAAUAAAGAAAUAACAUUUACCUUUGUUAAAACACAUUUUUAAGUGAGAGAAAAAUAUCCUGUACCUUAACAAUGAAGUUUAAAAGUAUUUACUUGAUAUUUAAAUUUUCCUUUUAAAAUUCCGCAGUGUGGAAUUGGACCGGCAGCAUCCCCGGGGAGCUGGUUAGAAAUGCAGCCUCUCCUGCGACUGCAUGACAGCCCCCACCUAACUGCUUCGAGGAAUCGUGUGCAUUGACAAGUUCUGGCACAAGCACCAUCGGGGCUACUUUGCUGUUUGGUGGGUGGGCAGUUGAUGGGGUUGGGAGUGGUCAAUUUGUCAGGUUGGAGAUUUCAAAGACGGGUAAUUCUGGACAUUUUGAAUGGAUAGUAAUCUUAAAACAAUUGUCAGAAGUAGAUGGAGACUCGCUGCAUAUAAUUCCCAACCCUACUGUAUAAAAGCACUAAAUAGCAGACAGUUCUAUUACGGUAUUUCUUGUAGCCUCCUGGUUAGUUCUUACAAGAUGGUUGUUAUAAAAGCCUGAGCUGGUGCUGCCCUCUCUCCCUGGCUUCCUGUUUCUAGAUGUGGUCUCUUCCUCCCACAUUGUCUCCGCCAUCACCAACUGCCAUGGGGCAGCCAGGGUUGCUGCCAUAGUGUUUGGACUUUCAGCCUCCAAACUGGAAGUGAAAAACCCUCUUUAUAAAGUUAGCCUGCCUCAGGUAUUUUUUAUACUAGUGAGAAAAAGACCAGUGCAUGAGCUAAUAUAUGACAUUAACUUUUUAUUUUACUCUUUUUAAAUUUUAUAUAUUUAUUUAUUUUUGGUACCAAGGAUCGAACUCGGGUCCUUGCGCUUGGGAGGCAAGCGACGGAACCACUGAGCUAAAUCCCCAGCCCUAUAUGACAUUCACUAUGGGCCAGGUGCUAUCCUAAAUUCUCCCUGUGAAUUAAUUAUUUAAUCCUCUUUCACCCUAGGAGGUGGAUCUAUUGUUAUCCUCAGUUUACAGCCAAGGAAGCUGAAGUACAGAGAAAUUAUUUGCUCAGAGUCAGAGCUAAUAAAUAGUGAAGACAGGAUUUGGACAUAGUCCAGCUCCACAGCCUAAGCUUUUAACCAUUAUGCUGCACUGCACGGGUAUAAAAUAAAUAAAUAAAUAAAUAAAUAAAUAAAUUCCUAUAUAUUAUGGAUGCACCCUCAAAUAAUUUUAUUGAUGGAAAAGUGAUAAAAAGG